AGUGGCGACGGGUGAGUAACACGUGAGUAACCUGCCCUUGACUCUGGGAUAAGCCUGGGAAACCGGGUCUAAUACUGGAUACGACCUUCUGGCGCAUGCCAUGUUGGUGGAAAGCUUUUGUGGUUUUGGAUGGACUCGCGGCCUAUCAGCUUGUUGGUGGGGUAAUGGCCUACCAAGGCGACGACGGGUAGCCGGCCUGAGAGGGUGACCGGCCACACUGGGACUGAGACACGGCCCAGACUCCUACGGGAGGCAGCAGUGGGGAAUAUUGCACAAUGGGCGCAAGCCUGAUGCAGCGACGCCGCGUGAGGGAUGAAGGCCUUCGGGUUGUAAACCUCUUUCAGUAGGGAAGAAGCCUGCCUUUGGGUUGGUGACGGUACCUGCAGAAGAAGCGCCGGCUAACUACGUGCCAGCAGCCGCGGUAAUACGUAGGGCGCAAGCGUUAUCCGGAAUUAUUGGGCGUAAAGAGCUCGUAGGCGGUUUGUCGCGUCUGCCGUGAAAGUCCGGGGCUUAACCCCGGAUCUGCGGUGGGUACGGGCAGACUAGAGUGCAGUAGGGGAGACUGGAAUUCCUGGUGUAGCGGUGAAAUGCGCAGAUAUCAGGAGGAACACCGAUGGCGAAGGCAGGUCUCUGGGCUGUAACUGACGCUGAGGAGCGAAAGCAUGGGGAGCGAACAGGAUUAGAUACCCUGGUAGUCCAUGCCGUAAACGUUGGGCACUAGGUGUGGGGGACAUUCCACGUUUUCCGCGCCGUAGCUAACGCAUUAAGUGCCCCGCCUGGGGAGUACGGCCGCAAGGCUAAAACUCAAAGGAAUUGACGGGGGCCCGCACAAGCGGCGGAACAUGCGGAUUAAUUCGAUGCACGCGAAAAACCUUACCAGGCUUGACUUGAACCGAAUGAUGCAAAGUUGGUCAGCACUUGGGGCCGGUUUACAGGUGGGCAUGGUUGCCCCCACUCCGUCCGGAAAAUGUUGGUUAAUUCCCGCAACGAGGCAACCCUUGUUCAUGUUGCCCGCGGUUAUCGCGGGAACUAAGGGAAAAUGCGGGGUCAUUUGGAAGAGGGGGGGACAAUUUAAAUCUUCGCCCCUUAAUCUGGGGUUCCCCCGGCCAAAUGGCGGCAAAAGGGUGGAAAUUUUGGGGGGGAAUUUCCAAAAA
rnacentral:rRNA from 1 species